CAUAGUAUAAUUUAAUAUCUGGAGAGCUUAGUCCUCCUCUCUAGCAUUUCAGUGUCUUCCUGGCUGUUGUUACAUGUGUAUUUUUUAAAAUUUAAGUGUCACUGAUAUACAAUCUUAUGAUGGUUUCACAUAAACAACACUGUGGUUUCAUCAUUCACCCAUAUUAUCAGGUCCUCUCCCCCUCUAUUGCGGUCACUGUCUAUCAGUGUAGUAAGAUGCUGUAGAGACAUUACUUGUCUUCUCCAUGCUGUACUGCCUUCCCCCUGACCUAUCUAUAUUGUGAUUGGGAAAUAUAGUGCCCCUGAAUAAAAACCCUUCUCCCUCCCCACCCAGCUCCCCCACGUCUCCCCUUUGGUAACCACUAGUCCCUUCUCAGUGUCUGAGUCUGCUGCUAUUUUGUUCCUUCAGUUUUACUUUGUUUAUAUACUCCACAGAUGAGUGAAGUCAUUUGGUACCUGUCUUUCUCCACCUGGAUUAUUUUACUGAGCAUAAUACCUUCUGGCUCCAUCCAUGUUGUUGGAAAUGGCAGGAUUUCUUUUUAUGGCUGGAUAAUAUUCCAUUGUGUAUGUAUAUCUUACAUGUGUAUUUUUAAUAUGAGAUUUACUAUCAAUUGUCCAGCUUCAUUAAAAAGAAUUGUUGAUAUUUUAUGGGGAUUGCAUUACAUUUAUAAGUUAAUUUAGAGCAAAGUCACAUUUUUGUGAUGUUGACUUAUUCUAUCCCAGAAUAAGAAAUGUCUUUCUAUUUGUUGAAGUCUUCAUUUGUGGCUUUUUAGGAAUGUUUUAAAAGUUUUCCUUAGAUGGGUUUCUUAUAUUUGUUGUUAAAUUUAUUCUUUAAUACUUUGUUUCGUGAAACUGCUUUAUACAGGUCAGUACAUUUAGAGACUUAUUUCACUUUUAAAAGGGUAGUCACUGAUUUUUCUUCCAUUUAUGUAUUUCAUAUUGUUUCUGAUUUUCCUUACUGUUAACAAUGCUAUGGAAAAUAUCCAUAUACCUAUAUUUUUGCUUAUUUGUGUUAUUAUAUCUAUAAAAUAGAUUCCUGAAAAUAGAAUAGUCAUAGGCCAUGUAGAUUUUUUUGGUAAUAUGUUCUACCACAUUAUCUUUUCUCAAAGUACUUGAUACUUUUUAAAGCCAGUAAACUUUAUUGUAUAUGUUCAUUGUUAAAAGGCAUUCAAAACCUUUUUGUGAAAGAGCCUCAUAAAAGUUAAUUCUAAACAAAAAGUUGUAUCUGUGUCCAUUAAUGUGGGGAAUAUAAAGACAGCAAAGCCAUAAUUUCUAUCUUAAAUAACUUGAUAAUAGCUUUGGAAAUGAGAUAUGUUUACUUGCAUGCAUUAAAAAAUAGAAAAAUUUCUUUAGUAGGUAGACUUUGAAAUGAGCUGAAAAGAAAGUGUUGAAUUUAGUUUAGUAAGAGAGUUAAGACGGAUGUUUUACAUGAACGUAGCAUGGGCUAAAAUAGAGGCAGCAUUUUACCACGUCAUGUGAGGUCAAAUAGACUGAAGCAGUGUGUUUGUAUUCAAAGAUAAAGUAAGGUAGUGAGUGGAAGACCUUGAGUGCCCAGUGAGUUUGGAUUAGAUCCACUAGGCAGCAGAGAGCCCUUCUGAAUUAGUGAUCUAUUGCCGUGCAACAAAUUACCCCCAAAUUUGGGGUUUAGAACACGAGUCAACAUUAUCUCUAACGGUUUCUGUGGGUGGGAGAUUUGACAGCAGAGAGCACUUUUGCCACAUUCUGUCUUUACAUGAAAGCCAGUAAGUUCAGCCCACAUUCAAGGGGAGGGGGAUUAGAUUCCACCUUUUGGGAGGGGAGUGUCAAAGAAUCUGGAAACAUAUUUAAAACCACCAUACUACCUGUGUUCUAAAGAAAAGGAAUGAAGGAAAAACACCAUGGUAUGUAGCGGAAGGAUAAUCUGGUAGCAGUGUCAAAGAUGAAGGGAGAGAGAAAUAGGAGGUAGAUCCUAGUGAAGUAAUCCAGCAGUGAAGCACUGAAGGAUUUAGUCGCGGGAGAUGAGAGAGGAGAGAGGUAGGACACAUAAACAGGACGCAGCAGAAUGAUGAACGAGAGAAAGUUGGGAGUAAAAAAUGGUGUCAAGGUUUUGAGAUCUGCAGAACCAUUAAGCAUCUGAAAGAGAUAGAAAGAGAAACCAGUUUUGAGGGAAUGAGGUUGCUUGUUUGUGGACAUUCAAGGGGAAAUUCUAAGCAGUUGAAUCUGUAGAACCAGGGCAUAAGUUGAAGUGUCUAGCCAAAGAGGAAAAUUCCGCAUUUGUCAUCCAAGAAGUGAUGUUUAAAUUCUUUAAGGGGUUAAGUAUUCCAGAGGCCAGAGCAGUGAGAACCAAGCCUUUGGGGGAGGCCUUGGUUUGGAGUCCAGAUAGGAAGAGGAGCUAGAUCUGUAGCAUUUGAGAGAAGAGCCAACUGUGUUCCUGGUGGGAACGAAAAAAGUGGCGUUCAAGAGAUUCAGAUGUUGCAGAACUGAAGAGGAUGAUGUUCGAAAUGAAUGCAUUUGCUUGUAAGAUUAUUAGAGGUGACAGCAGUUUAAGUGGAGUAGAACAAUUUUGGAAAUUGGAUUAUAACAUUUAAUUUGAUGAUUAACUUUUUAGAAAGUGCUUGAGGUGGGAGGAUGAGUGGCUGACUUGCCUUUUAUCACUUAGAUUUUGAGAUCUUAAUCCUUUUUUGCCUCCCUUUAGCACCACCACACCUCUCUGGAAUAGCACUUCUUAGUUCUUGGAUUGAGCGAUACAGUAGGAUUUCACCUCGCUUGUUUUCAGGGACUCUCUUAACUGUAAGUGAAAUCAACUUACUUAAUAAUUUUUUCACUUCACAUACUGCAUUUAACUAUUAUUUGUCCACUUCCACCUCCUCCUUCCCUUCCUUUCCUUUCCUUUCCCCUUGGCUAGUAUGACUUCAAGAUCUGCUUCCAGAUGAGAGAUUACCCAUUUUUUUCUCUCUCUUAUCUCCCAACUUCAAGUAGGAUUCUAUUACUUGUAUGCCUUGUUAAUUAAACUUGCAGCGAUGCAAUUAGUAGUAAAUAUCACUAAAAUAGUAACAACCAAAUGUACAUACUGUACAAAAAGAAAGAUUAUUUUGUCUUCUUUAAUGUAUCUGUACAUGUAUUUAAUCAGUGUUCAAAUGAGUAAAAUAAUUGGCAAUAAGAUGGAGUGUUCCAAAUUGAAGGGUAGACUUUAUGCUGUGAAAAAACUAUUGUUAGUAAGUUCUUUUUUGCACAAAAUGGUGUGACUGUUCUUGGUGCCAUCAUCUUUGACUAGAUAGGAUAGCAUUAAAUGAUGUAGUCCAGUUCUGCAGUGUGCAUAGAAGGUGGGCACAGAAGAGAUGAAAGGGGCCUGGGAAUGGUGAGAAGGAAUAGCACAGGGGCAGAGGAGUCUGAGAGACUUCGGUGGGUGGGUAGAGCUCAGAUAGUGACUGUUGAGGGAGGCAAGAAAAGAGAAAUGUGGACCCUAAACAUUUCACUACUGCCGUGAAGGUUCAUACAUAUAUUUUUCAUUACAUAUAUUAAGCUUUUCCUAUGUGUCAGUGGGUGUGGAAGAGAGGAACAGAAAAAAAGGGAGUGAGAAGGGGUGUCUGAGGAGAUUGAGGAUUUUUUCACAAUUAAAGAUCUGGAUGUGUUUAUAAAGAUUAUAUCAUGACUUCCAGCUGACAAAAAGUUAAUGAGAUUAAUUGAUACAUUUCCCUUUUCCUGUCUCCCACUUGUUCUUCCCCUCCUCUUUCUCUUAUGUUCUCCAAGACACAUUUUGGGCACCGUCAGUCCCAGAAGCUUCAUCCAGUGGCCUCUUCCAUUCCCAGUGCCCCACACUUGCUGCGCUAAUUAUCCUCCGUGUCCCUUUGUCUCCAGAAUGUCCUGGGACUUCUGGUCUUCUACAACGUGUUACAUAAAUGGUUAAAAGAAUUGGAUAUUUCACCAUGUGGAGUUUCUCUGCCUCACUGAUGAUCUAAGGUCAAACCUGCCAGUUUAUGGGGGAUGAUAGACCCUGUAACAUCUGACCCUCCACCUGCAGUAAGCUCUGAGACAGACAUGGCUGGGGCAUGGAGGGAGGUCAGUGCUUUUCCUCCAGAAGAGUAGAUGUUAACUUUAAAUUUAAAUGAUGACUGUUCUUACCACAACAAAAGAAGAGAUGGUGAGACUAAGAUGAUGAUGACAAGAUGUUGGAGGAAGCAGCCAAGCUCAGAUAAGAGCUCAGAGAAAGGAGUCCAAGGCCCUUCCGUUGGGUGUACUCUGCCUCCAGCCCUGGGCCCCGCUCCUGCACUCUGCUCCUGCCAUCUCCUGCUCCAGGCCUCCAUCAUCUCCAUCCUGAG